GAAAAAAAGUGGGUCUCCGGAGACCAGGGGGAAGCCCUUCUAGUUUCUCUUGAUGGGAAGAGCCCUUUCCUCAUCUGCCGCCUCCCAACCUCAAAGGCUGUUCCCAGACUGGUUCCCUGCAGGCAGAGGAGCAUCUCUCCCAUCAGAUCUGGAUUUGGUUCUUCCUCUAGCUGAACUCCCAGCCAUCCACUUGGUAUUUACUCACAAGGCACCUGAGGGUUGACACGGAAGACAGCCACACCAGGCAAAACUCCAGACACAAAUGCAUCUCAAUGGGCGUCUGGCAGGGAGGCUCCAACUGCUCUGAGGUUCUGAGGUUCCGCUGAGCUCACCUGGCCAAGUGUGUCAAAACUCCCACCAGCAUCACCCCAGCACCACCUAGAAGCACUCUGAGCCCCACUCUGAAGAUAAUUCUGGGAAUGAAAAAGAAGUCGAAACCUGCCCAAGUCCUCCGAGAGGGUCUCGGGUCCUUCCCCAGUCCCUUGCAUUGCUGGAAACCCUUUCCCCUAGAACAGAGCUACACUAACUGCCAGGAGGCCAGGCCUGUUGGCAGAAACAGAGAUGACCCCCUCUCCCACCUUCCGCUUUGCCACUCCAGUGACUAUUUGCUGACUGUCUCUUUCUUGCUGCUAAUCGCUCGGCCCCGUCUAAUUGGUAAUUAGCCUUGCGAGCCCAGCCUGUGCUUGGCUAAUUGCUGUUUGUCUCACCCUCAUCUCCGGCAGCAGAGUGGUGCCAACACAGCCGCCUGGGCUCUAUCCGGGCUGCUGGCAUCCGUGCCAGGUUCUGUAGAGGUUUCUGCAGCCCCACCCUGUUCUCUUCCAGGGAUUUUGUGGGGUACAGCCUCCUUCAGCAGUAAUGUCAGCCCUGAGGGUGGUCCCUGACAGUCCUUCUGGGUGGUUGCAGACUGGGGCCCCUGCUUUCAUGCAUAGUCCAUGCCCAGUUAUAGAAAAAGACGGCCAUGAGUGAGCUACAGUCCCUACUGAGGAGUGGAGUCUGGGGGGACUCUAGGGAGGAGGUGUCUGCACCGGAACUUAAGGAUGUCUAGGAUUUAACCAUCAGAGAAAGGAGAAAG
rnacentral:lncRNA from 1 species